CCUACGGGAGGCAGCAGUAGGGAAUAUUGCUCAAUGGAGGAAACCCUGAAGCAGCAACGCAGCGUGAAGGAUGAAGGUUUUCGGAUUGGAAACUCCUUUUUUUAUAGAAGUUAAUGACUGUAUCUAACGAAUAAUCACCGGCCAACUCCGUGCCAGCAGCCGCGGUAAUACGGAGGCUGCAAGCGUUACUCGGAAUCACUGGGCGUAAAGAGCGCGUAGGCGGGAUAGCAAGUCAGAUGUGAAAUUCUACGGCUUAACCAUAAAACUGCAUUUGAAACUGUUAUUCUAGAGUAUGGGAGAGGUAGGUGGAAUUCUUGGUGUAGGGGUAAAAUCCGUAGAGAUCAAGAGGAAUACUCAUUGCGAAGGCGACCUGCUAGAACAUAACUGACGCUGAUGCGCGAAAGCGUGGGGAGCAAACAGGAUUAGAUACCCGAGUAGUC
rnacentral:rRNA from 1 species